rnacentral:rRNA from 1 species
CCUACGGGAGGCAGCAGUAGGGAAUCUUCCGCAAUGGACGAAAGUCUGACGGAGCAACGCCGCGUGAACGAUGAAGGCCUUCGGGUCGUAAAGUUCUGUUGUUAGGGAAGAACAAGUGCUAGUUAAAUAAGCUGGCACCUUGACGGUACCUAACCAGAAAGCCACGGCUAACUACGUGCCAGCAGCCGCGGUAAUACGUAGGUGGCAAGCGUUGUCCGGAAUUAUUGGGCGUAAAGCGCGCGCAGGCGGUUUCUUAAGUCUGAUGUGAAAGCCCCCGGCUCUACCGGGGAGGGUCAUUGGAAACUGGGAAACUUGAGUGCAGAAGAGGAAAGUGGAAUUCCAAGUGUAGCGGUGAAAUGCGUAGAGAUUUGGAGGAACACCAGUGGCGAAGGCGACUUUCUGGUCUGUAACUGACGCUGAGGCGCGAAAGCGUGGGGAGCAAACAGGAUUAGAUACCCUGGUAGUCCACGCUGUAAACGAUGAGUGCUAAGUGUUAGAGGGUUUCCGCCCUUUAGUGCUGAAGUUAACGCAUUAAGCACUCCGCCUGGGGAGUACGGUCGCAAGACUGAAACUCAAAGGAAUUGACGG